rnacentral:rRNA from 1 species
AUUGCCCCAGUAACGGCGAGUGAAGCGGCAACAGCUCAAAUUUGAAAUCUGGCCCCAGGCCCGAGUUGUAAUUUGCAGAGGAUGCUUUGGGCGCGGUGCCUUCCGAGUUCCCUGGAACGGGACGCCACAGAGGGUGAGAGCCCCGUCUGGUCGGACACCAAGCCUAUGUAAAGCUCCUUCGACGAGUCGAGUAGUUUGGGAAUGCUGCUCAAAAUGGGAGGUAUAUGUCUUCUAAAGCUAAAUACCGGCCAGAGACCGAUAGCGCACAAGUAGAGUGAUCGAAAGAUGAAAAGCACUUUGAAAAGAGAGUUAAACAGCACGUGAAAUUGUUGAAAGGGAAGCGUUCAUGACCAGACUUGGCCCGGUUGAUCAUCCAGCGUUCUCGCUGGUGCACUCUGCCGGUCCAGGCCAGCAUCAGUUCGCCGCGGGGGAUAAAGGUUUCGGGAAUGUGGCUCCUCGGAGUGUUAUAGCCCGUUGCGCAAUACCCUGUGGUGGACUGAGGUCCGCGCUCUGCAAGGAUGCUGGCGUAAUGGUCAUCAACGACCCGUCUUGAAACACGGACCAAGGAGUCGUCUUCGUAUGCGAGUGUUCGGGUGUAAAACCCCUACGCGUAAUGAAAGUGAACGGAGGUGGGAGCUUCGGCGCACCAUCGACCGAUCCUGAUGUUCUCGGAUGGAUUUGAGUAAGAGCAUACGGGGCCGGACCCGAAAGAAGGUGAACUAUGCCUGUAUAGGGUGAAGCCAGAGGAAACUCUGGUGGAGGCUCGCAGCGGUUCUGACGUGCAAAUCGAUCGUCAAAUAUGGGCAUGGGGGCGAAAGACUAAU